AUUUUUUUCUUCCCUAAUUUUUCCCAGAACUCAAAUGUCCUCCCACUCUAUUAUUAUGCAGAGCUCAGUACCUUUUGCUUCUACCCCAAACUCUGCUACUGACCAACUUUUGUACUUACCAAAAUGGCCUCAUAAAUAAAUAGCCAUUUGCUUUGGAACACUAUACUUGAACAGCACAAAGUACCUGUAGAGACUUUACAACUUGUCCUUGCUUUAGCAAGAUUAAAUGAUCAGGCAGUGGUUCUUAGAGUCCCCCAACCAACAGCAUUGGCAUCCCCUAGGAACUUGGUAGAAUUUCAAGGUCUCAGGUCCCACCAUAGACCUACCGAUUGCGAAGCCCAUCCACAAGCCCUCCAGGUGAUUCUGAUGCAUGCUAAAGCUUGAGAAUCCCUGACUUAGGCAAACUUUGAGUUUAUGUAUUUGUAAUAGGCACAUAUAUAGAGAUCCUACUUCAUUUUUAAUUGUUGUAUGAAUUUAAUGAUUCCAUGCUCAUGGACAUUUAGGUUGCUUCCAAUUUUUGUUUUUGUUAGUUUGUCUGUUUGUUUUGAGAUGGAGUCUCGCUCUGUCACCCAGGUGGGAGUGCAGUGGUGUGUUCUUGGCUCACUGCAACCUCUGCCUCCCAGGUUCAAGUGAUUCUCCCACCUCAGCCUCCCAAGUAGCUGCAUCUACAGGCUCCUGCCACCACACCCAGCUAAUUUUAACGAGGCUGGUCUCAAACUCCUGAUUUCAAGUGAUCUGCCCACCUCGGCCUCCCAAAGUGUUGAGAUUACAGCCAACUUCCAAUUUUAAUACCUGAACAAACACUAGAAGUGUGCGUGGAAAAAUAAAAACAAUUAUGAAAAGAUCUAGCUAUUUUUUGAUAAAUUUUUUUCUUAAAAAAUUCCUCCAAUGUUAGAAUAUUGUUUUAACAAUAAAUACAAAUUGGAAGAGAGAACAAUGUUAGGUGAACUAAAGAAGGGAAGGAGGAUAGAUUCUCCAUAAAGGGUAAAGGGAGCCCACUGCAGUAAGCUGGAAUGGCCAUGAUGCCAGAGACCAUGUCCAAUGUGCUUACUUCUAUAUGCCCAGUGUCUUCAAUGGUGUCUGACACAGAAUAGGCACUUAGAAAAUAUUAAAUGAAUAAACGGAUUAAUCAAAUGCUGGUGAGGCUUCAGCUCCUAUGUCUGGAUUUGCCACAGUUCAUGCUCUAGGACUUGAGCUUUUUAACUACCCAGGGCUAUAACUGUGGCUCUACUUUGUGCCCAGGUCUCAACUGGGAAGACACUCAUGAUAGUAGUGCAGUAAGGAGCUGGGUAUGCAUUUCAGCACAAACCUUUGUUCGUUUCUUUCUUCCAAAAGACCCUACCUAUGACCUUUCAGUAGGCAGGGUCAAUAAUCUGGUUCUACAACAAUUCAAUAAUGGAAGACACUAAGGAAUUAGUUAAUUUUUAUUUAGUUUGAAUAAUGGCAUAGUAAUUGUAUGUCUGUUUUAAAAGAGUCUAGGAUUUGCUUCAAAAUCAUCUGGAUAGGGGAGUUGAAGAAUUGGGGUAUAGAUCAAAUAAGAUAGGCCAUCAGUUGAUCAUUGCUGAGGCUGGGAAAGUGAAAACAUUUUCCAGUACAUGGGGGCUCAUAAUGAAUACAAAUUGAAUACAUACAUGUAUUUAUUUAUAAGGAAUAGAAUAAUGAUUGUAUUAUUCUUAAAAAAAAAAAACCUUCAAGUCAGCAGCAGGUGCUCUCCCAAUGAGCACAGCAUGGCUGUCACACCUGUCACCAACUCCUGGGUACAUGUCUCUUGUUCCUUUUGGUUACAGUAGAAGAACACUCUGGAUCCCAAUCUUUCUUACAUUUUGAUGCACUUAGUGACAUCAGUUAUCUCUUUCUAUCCUGUAUCAAUGUCUACCUCCCGUCUGGAGAUUUACACUCAGACUUUAAAUAUAACUCAAUUAUCUUCCAUAAUAAAAAUCACAUAAACAUCCCAUCCCCUCAGUUCAGACACUUCCUCUGGCGAUUGCUUGAUUUUUCUUUUAUCCAGAACAGCCAAACGUAUCCAAAGAGUUACCUAUUUUUCUCUUACAUUUCUUUGCUUCCGCCUCAAUCUACUGGAGUCUGGCUCUGUCCUCACCAUUCAACCUUAAUGGUUGCUGUCAUAAAAUUUCAUGUGCAUAUUUCAGGUGUAAAAUAGCAGCUCUAGCCCAAAUACUUCUCCUUAAAGAGACUCUAGUAUUCAAAACUUACUGACCUCUAUAUUUGGAUAUUGUAUGGUUCUAUUCAAACUCAGCACUGUAUGUCCAAACAGAGCUCAUCGUCUUCCUCCCAACCUGUGGUCCUUUCAGUGAAUAACCAGUUGCCCAAAUAACAAAAACCCUGGCAACAUUUUGCUUUGUUUUGUUCUAAACAGCUUUACUGAGGUAUAAGUUAUAGACCACAAUAAACCGCACAUGUUUACUGAUUUGCUUUUCUGUCAGUAUAGAUUAAUUUGCAGUUUUCAGAAUUUCAUAUAAAUGGAGUCAUGCAGCAUGUACUUUUUUGUCUGAUUUCUUUCACUAAGCAUAAUUAUUUUGAGAUUCAUCCAUGUUGAUGUAUUAACCAUUCAUUCCUUUUUGUUAGCGUGUAGCAUACCAUUAUAUGGAUAUAUCAUAAUUUGUUUAUUCACUUGCUUGUUGAUGGCCAUUUGGGUCAUUUCUAGCUUUUGGCUAUUGCAAAUAAAACUAUUAUUUCAUGUACAAGCCUUGGUGUGUACAUAUGAUUUCAUUUCUCUUGGUUAAAUUUGCAGGAGCAGAAUGUCUAGGUCACAUUGAUUUUGUGUUAACGUUUAAAGAAACUUCUGGUUGUUACUCUUGACUUUUUGUGGCAGUCCUAGUUGGCUGCCUUUCCAGCAACCAUCUCAUAUUCCAUCCUCUACUUUUCACUGUCUCUUACACUGCAGAAGUGGAAAAGGUGACAUUUGCUUUCCCAGAACCCUUUGCAUCUGUGGCCAGGGCGUGUGGCUGCACCUGGCUGCGGAUACUUGAAGAAAACUCCGCUGGGAGUGAGGGGUGGAGAGGGAGGUUCUAAGAAGCCACGAGGGGAUGUAGCAGAAGGACUCCCUGGCACUCCUCUAAUAGCGUCCUUCCCUGUAAAGGGUGGUGUCUUGGAACCAAGGGGACAUUCCCAUGCGGAGCUUGUGGCCCCCAUCCAUACCACUCUCCGCGUACCCAGGACGCAGAACUCCUUAGGCUCAUCGCCCCGACCCCUGCCAGGGACCCAGAGGGCCUCUUCCAGUCCUUUCCCCGACCGAUGGCAGGCUCUGCCGCUAGCGUGCUUAUCCCUAGAUACCGAGGGAGGCCAAUUGCAGGAGGAGAUGCGCUAGGGUGGUCACACGCAUGCGUGUAAGGUGCCUAAUGGCGCAGGUUGCUGCACCGUGUGGAGAAAGUUUUGGGAGAGUUCUGCUUAUACUCUUAGGAGCAGAAAGUCUGCUUGUGACACCAGAAAGUGAAACAGAUAUUCC
ensembl:lncRNA